AUAAAAUGUAAAUUUCAGCAUAUUUUUUCGGACAAAAAUGUGUUUGUGCGUAGAAAUGUGAUCAGGCUGAGCACAUGGCCUUAUGUUUUACAUAAUUUUCGGCGCUUAACGUAAAAACAGUUUAAGGACAUGAUUCACAAACAUUCAAUUUAUGCUUAAAUGUACAUGUGAUACAUUAUGCAUAUGAAUAUAGUUCACGAUAUUAUCGCAUAUGGAAGUAACUGGAAUAAAUUUGGACUACUUCCUUCGGGUGUUUACAUGACUGUGCUGUCAAAAGGCCUCCCAUGUGUAUACAUAUUUUGACAGGUCGAGUUGCUCUUGCAGGAACGACGAUAAGAUGAAUACCUGCACCAUGGAAAUAUUGUAGAUCUAAUUUGUAAACUGUCGUGGAACCUGUGUUCGGCUCGCACAAUUCCUAUUUAAUAGGAAUGCAUGAUGGAGACCAACAGUACAGAAAGAUGAAGAUGUAAAUUGAUCCAAAUAAACAAUGGGACAAUGAAUGUUAUAAUUACCAAGAAGAAGACUGCAUUUU